AGAGCAGCGGGAGCGCGGCGCAAGGGCAAAAUGGAUCGUUGGUACCCGGAAGCCCGUUCAAACUGUAUAAGGGUGAUCAGCUAUCACGGAGAAGGCUUUAGCAAGUCGGGGCCAGUGGCGCAAUGGAUAACGCGUCUGACUACGGAUCAGAAGAUUCUAGGUUCGACUCCUGGCUGGCUCGCGAUGUCUGUUUUGCCACACUUGACCCAUGUACUACUGGGUCUUGUAAAGAUGUAUAUUCACAAUGUGAAAGUAUUACAAGACCUUGGAAAGGUGUAUGGUUAGAAUGUGAAAGUUAAAUAUCUGAAAUUUUGAUGCCGCUUUGCUCACAAUGUCAUCCUUUAUCCUUUAAACCUGGAGUUGUCUGAGGUGGUUUGCAAACUGCAAAGCGCCCUGUUCCCAAUGAUGCACCUGAGAAGUCUGUAAAUGGGGUAAAUUUAGGCAAACACACCUGGAAAAGUGGCAUUUUGGAGUGGGGAAUGCUGUGGCCGGAGGUUAGCAACCGGAUGAUGCAAAAGCGUAUUUAAGGCAGCAGUUCUGGCCUUUCCCCGCCACGGAGCAGAAGCCCCCAUAGUGAUGUGAGAAGCGGCGCUGUCCCAGUUUACUAGGAUGGGAUGGGCUUUGGAUCUAACCAGCAGCGAAGAAAACCUGCGGUGCGGCUGCGCUCGGUAGUAGGGGUCCACAAAGCGUCAGAAUCUGCAGCAGCCCCGGCCUUUGCGAGCUCCAGCUCCGAAGUCAACCCGGCCCCCAAAUUCCACUGGGAAACCUUAAGACACCGGUGUUUUUACCGUAAGAAGACCUCAGAAGCCCAUGGAAACAAGGCGAUGACGGCGCUUGAGGGUGACCAGACCUCCUCAAUCAUUCCAUCAGCCACCCAGGACUCAACAGCAGAACCUCAGAGGACUCAGCUGAAAGAGGUUUUCACUCGAGCACUAACCACAGAGAAAUGGGAAGUGCCAUCCUGCUGUCAUACGCAGCCGAUGGCUGGGUAGGACUAAAUGCCCUUCUGUGGUGAGAUGAACCAAGACGGCAGAUGGGGGAAUAACAUCAGUGAGAGAGAGAUUACGAAUGGAUCCUUGUAUUGCAGAUCAAACUGGGUUGUCUCUUCUCAAACCACCCAGGCAGUUUCUGAAUGUCCCAAGAUAGGGGUAGGAGAAAAGAAAAAAAAGACAAAACAGGAGACGGUGGGUAAGAAAACCUAAAAGGCACAAUGAGGCAAAGGCCUAAGAUGGAGGCUGGCUUUGGGAUCUGAAAUCCGGCCACAAUCCUCCUUGUUUUACCUCAAGUCCAAGAAUUGUCAAAAAGAAAACCCAGAAGGGCUAUUCAUUCUAAAUUUUAAAAUCUUUUCUUCCUGGCCUACCAAGUCCUUGUGUUUUCUUUCUAGGCGCCCAUAAAUACAACCCCAUUACAGUUCUAUUUGGCUAAUAAUUUACAGAACAUUUAAAAUACCGGGUAGGUGAACAUCUCUUCAUGGCUUUUGUGUAAGGGCCUGAAGCGAAGAGAAAAACAACUGAUUGGAGAUUCCUAUCUGGCGCCUUCUCCAGGGAAACUGACAACCAGAGAAAUCUGUUGCUAGGAUUUCUAGGACAUCUGGAAAUUCCCUUUUUGUUCUUUCUCAACAAUAUAAAAUGGUAUAUUCGCAAACCUAUCUGAAUCACCUCAAUCUAGGCCACUUUGAAAAUUUCAUUUAAAAAUGUAAUCACAGAUUUUUAAACUAAUUACCCAAUUUGCAAACAAAUCCCAGCUACUUCUGGUCUUGAACAUGGAGCAAAGGUGUGUCAGUAAGGCCAACAUUCUUAGGUUGACAGAGACAGGUUAACACAUUGGCUGGCUUCAUUUACCCCCCUGCCACGCCCCACACUGAGCUGGAUGAUUUGAUGGGAAGAGAGGGUCCCCACCUCAGGGUUCACUUCCCCAGCCCCAGCGUUCAUGGGUUUUCAGGAGGCUCAGCCUGUGAAAAAGAACCAAUGAUGAUGCACACCCUGGCUGAAGUGACAUCUGGCCAAAGGAUUCCAACAGAAUGAAUUCCAUCAACAUGGAAAAGAUAAUCCAUGGCACCAAUUCUGUGCUGCUUACAGGCAAUGGUUACCAAAUGAGUCAAAACAUGGCCUAGAAGUGGAGCCGGGCCCAAUGAAAAGCCUGAGUUCACACGUGCUAGGGGCUCCACUGACCGGCCUCUGCAGCCCAGCACCCAGUCCUCUUGCUCUGGGUGCAAGGUGAGGAGGCAGAGUGCACACACCGGCUCCUGUGUCCCCGGCCUGGCUGGCAAUGGUAAAAUGGGCUGCCUUUCUUUUGCAGCUUCUUCUAAUCGAAAUACCAAAGGGUACUGACCUCUGGCCUCAGGGAUGUGACUUGCAGUGCAAAUUUUACCUCUUCAGUGCAGAGAGUGGUCUUGAAAUCUUGCCAGUGUGUGGCCCUCCCUCAGCUCCUGCCACCCUGGGGAGCCAGGAUGCUGAAAUGCAUAAGGCAAAAGCACUGAAUCGGAUCUAUUCCCCACUGACCUUUAGUUACGAUCACUCUGCCCUGACCAGCUGGAGUUGGGCCUGUGUGAAGCCAGUGAUUUCCAACACACUGAAGAAGGUAUCUGAGUCCAGUGUGAAAGCCAAAUUCCUCCUGAAUCUGUGAUUUGGUGAAGCUCUGUGAGGUAUUUUUUGUGUGUGGAAGACUGAAAGUGAAGGGAAACAACUAAAAAAAUUAAACAGACAAAAGCAGUGUACCUUAUCCUGGUUUCUUCAAACAUAAUGCCUGUGCCAAGAAUUGGGCAGGAGAGAAACCAACGAAAUGAAUAUAAUAACUUAUCCUGAGGCGCUCCCUCCCACGCUGGCUUAGAGAUCUCGCACACACAAAAACUCUCCUUGUUUAUAAGAAGCUGUCUCUCAGUAUGCGGGCAGCUCUUCCCAAAAGCCCGUCAUUAAAUAAGCUAAAAACAGGUGCAAGCGAUGUACCUGCAUGGGUUCCUGAGACUUGCCUUGCAGAAGCGGCCUUCCAAGUCACCAACUCUUGAGAACUCCAGAGAAAAACAGCGCAAACACGUGGGCAAAAAAAAAAAUCCUGGUGCCUGCACCAAGUUCUUCUCCCAAAGUAUGUUUUACUCACAUAGGGCAAAUUUCUGUCGCGGACUCAGCUGCCUUUAGGAGAGUAAGGAUUUGAAGGGGUACAGAGAAUGCUGUCAGUGUCUAAGGAGGAAACCCUGCCUCACCUAUUUCAAAUCUUGACUCUGGUUUUCUAAGCAAAUUUAUCUUAGGAUACAAAGCACACAUUAGAGCUUCCUUCUUGCCUUAAUGCAAUUAAAUUUGCAGCCAUUCUGCAGAAGAACUGAAGCUCUCAGGUGAAAAGAAGCCUUAAAUCAUGCCAUGAUAUAUGUCGGGGGAGGGAACAUUUGGGUAUAGGUAUUUUCCUGAAGGAAGAGAAAGGGUUGAAUGUAUUGGCAGCUGAGCUGUCCCUUCAAGGGGAUAUUGUGAAACAAGCUCAAUAAAAACCUCUCCCUCUGAAGCAUGAAAUGUUCCCAGAGGGGACAGGAGGAUUCCUUUGGUGCUAUGAUGCAACCUCAGGUCAUGUGCUCGCACAUGCUGGAGCAUUUUCCUGAGUAACCUGAGGAAAAUGUGGCAACAGAGAAAAGCACUUGGAAAAUACACGCAGGAGGCAGGUAGUGUUCACCUCCCUGGUUAAAGGAAAGGCACCCCCCACAUGCUCACAGGAACUCUCCCUCCUGCCCCUCCUCUUCCCCUACCCCACUUCCACCCCAGGGGCCACCGGAAGCAGCAGCAGCAACCCCGGCUCCUCAUCCCCUGCCGUGAUGUCUGCAAGUGGCUCUGGCUAGAAGUGGUGCUGGUGAAGGGCUGUAGAUGAGGGUCUCUUCUCCAGCCUCUUCACGUGGCAGGAGUGACAGAACAGGUGGUCCUCCAGCGGAUAACAGCGGUGGCCAUCUUCAUCAUUGAGCUCCAGACCACAGUCCUGUGGGGAGGCAGACAUGUCCAGGGGAAGCAAAACAAAACAGACUGCAAGACUGACCUGAAGGCCACAGUCCCCAAAAUCAGCAGAGGGUGCUGUGUGUUUCUGUAUAGGCAGGAAAUGCCAGUGCAGAAACACAGCUCCUGCCCCGUGGAGGCCUGUCCAACACAGGAGACACUGCCACAAGGCACUUGCUGUGAACCACUUAAAAUGUGCUGUCAGUGUAAAUGCAGAUUCCGAAGACUUAGGACAAAAAGAGGAUGUAAAAAUAUCUCAUGGGAAAAAGGAAUGAGAUCAUGUCCUUUGCAGGGACAUGGAUGAAGCUGGAAGCCAUCAUUCUCAGCAAACUAACAAAGGAACAGAAAACUAAACACCACAUGUUCUCACUCAUAAGUGGGAGUUGAACAAUGAGAACACAUGGACACAGGGAGGGGAACAACACACACCAGGGCCUGUUGGGAGGUGGGGGUGAGGGGAGGGAACUUAGAGGAUGGGACAAUAGGUGCAGCAAACCACCCUGGCACACGUACAACAUAUAUCUAUGUAAUAAAUCUUCACACGUAUCCCUUUUUUUUUUUUAGAAGAAAUAAAAUAAAUUGUGGAGUUACAAAAAAAAUCUCAUGGGUAACUUUUUUAUAUUGAUUACAUGUUCAAAAGAUAACAUUUGGAUUUUUUUUUCUUUUUUGAGACAGUCUCCCUCUGUUUUCUAGGCUGGAGUGCAGUGGUGCGAUCUCAGCUCACUGCAACAUCCACCUCCCCCGUUCAAGGAAUUCUCCUGUCUCAGCCUCCCAAGUAGCUGGGAUUAUGCACGCGCCAACACAUCUGGCUAAUUUUUGUAUUUUUAGUAGAGACAGGGUUUCACCAUGUUGGCCAGGCUGGUCUUGAAC
rnacentral:lncRNA from 1 species